AGAACGAACGCUGGCGGCAGGCCUAACACAUGCAAGUCGAACGCCCCGCAAGGGGAGUGGCAGACGGGUGAGUAACGCGUGGGAACGUGCCCUUCGGUUCGGAAUAACUCAGGGAAACUUGAGCUAAUACCGGAUACGUCCGUAAGGAGAAAGAUUUAUCGCCGAAGGAUCGGCCCGCGUCGGAUUAGCUAGUUGGUGAGGUAACGGCCCACCAAGGCGACGAUCCGUAGCUGGUCUGAGAGGAUGAUCAGCCACACUGGGACUGAGACACGGCCCAGACUCCUACGGGAGGCAGCAGUGGGGAAUAUUGGACAAUGGGCGCAAGCCUGAUCCAGCCAUGCCGCGUGAGUGAUGAAGGCCCUAGGGUUGUAAAGCUCUUUCAACGGUGAAGAUAAUGACGGUAACCGUAGAAGAAGCCCGGCUAACUUCGUGCCAGCAGCCGC
rnacentral:rRNA from 1 species